AAUCAACGCUGGCGGCGUGCCUCAGACAUGCAAGUCGAACGAUUAAACUUUCCUUCGGGAAAGAUAUAAAGUGGCGCACGGGUGAGUAACACGUAAGUAAUCUACCUUCGAGUGGGGAAUAACAUCGGGAAACCGAUGCUAAUACCGCAUAAUGCGGCGGCAUCGCAAGAUGACAGUUGUUAAAGGAGCAAUCCGCUUGAAGAGGAGCUUGCGGCAGAUUAGCUAGUUGGUAAGGUAAUGGCUUACCAAGGCUUCGAUCUGUAUCCGGCCUGAGAGGGCGGUCGGACACACUGACACUGAAUAACGGGUCAGACUCCUACGGGAGGCAGCAGUCGGGAAUUUUGGGCAAUGGGCGAAAGCCUGACCCAGCAACGCCGCGUGAAGGAUGAAGUAUUUCGGUAUGUAAACUUCGAAAGAAUGGGAAGAAUCAAUGACGGUACCAUUUAUAAGCUCCGGCUAACUACGUGCCAGCAGCCGCGGUAAAAC
rnacentral:rRNA from 1 species